rnacentral:rRNA from 1 species
GACGAACGCUGGCGGCGUGCUUAACACAUGCAAGUCGAACGGAAAGGCCCUGCUCUUGUGGGUUGCUCGAUUGGCGCACGCGUGAGUAACACGUGUGUAACCUGCCCUUGACUUUGGGAUAACAUCAGGAAACUUGGGCUAAUACCGGAUAGGAGCUCCUGCUGCAUGGUGGGGGUUGGAAAGUUUCGGCGGUUGGGGAUGGUCUGGCGGCUUAUCAGCUUGUUGGUCGGGUAGUGGCUUACCAAGGCUUUGAAGGGUAGCCGGCAUGAGAGGUUGACCGGCGUCAUGGGGACUGCGAUAGGCAGCAGUCGCGUAUCGGACGCAGCAGUCGGGAAUAUUACACAACGGCCGCAAGUCUGUGGUAGCAAUGCCGCGUGCGGGAUGACGUCCUUCGGGUUGUAAACCGCUGUCGACGGAGACGAAGCCUGAGUGACGGUAAUGGGUAAGGAAGCACCGGCUAACUACGUG